rnacentral:rRNA from 1 species
GGUUAGAUAGAUUAGCAUGCAUGUCUAAGCACAAGCCGAUCGAUGGUAAAGCCGUGAAUAGCUCAUUAUAACAGCCAUCAUUUACUAGAUCUUACCUUCUUACUUGGAUAACUGUGGCAAUUCUAGAGCUAAUACAUGCAACAAAGCUCCGACUUUCGGAAGGAGCGCAUUUAUUAGACCAAAACCAAUCGAGCUCUGCUCGUUUGUUGGUGACUCUGAAUAACUUUGCCGAUCGAACGGUCAUUGAACCGUCGACAUGUCUUUCAAGUGUCUGCCUUAUCAACUGUCGAUGGUAGUAUAUGGGACUACCAUGGUAAUAACGGGUAGCGGAGAAUUAGGGUUCGACUCCGGAGAGGGAGCCUGAGAAACGGCUACCACAUCCAAGGAAGGCAGCAGGCACGCAAAUUACCCACUCCCGGCACGGGGAGGUAGUGACGAAAAAUA